rnacentral:rRNA from 1 species
CCUACGGGAUGCAGCAGUGGGGAAUAUUGGACAAUGGGCGAAAGCCUGAUCCAGCAAUGCCGCGUGAGUGAUGAAGGCCUUAGGGUCGUAAAGCUCUUUUACCCGGGAUGAUAAUGACAGUACCGGGAGAAUAAGCCCCGGCUAACUCCGUGCCAGCAGCCGCGGUAAUACGGAGGGGGCUAGCGUUGUUCGGAAUUACUGGGCGUAAAGCGUGCGUAGGCGGUUAUUCAAGUCAGAGGUGAAAGCCCGGGGCUCAACCCCGGAACGGCCUUUGAAACUAGAUAGCUAGAAUCUUGGAGAGGUCAGUGGAAUUCCGAGUGUAGAGGUGAAAUUCGUAGAUAUUCGGAAGAACACCAGUGGCGAAGGCGACUGACUGGACAAGUAUUGACGCUGAGGCACGAAAGCGUGGGGAGCAAACAGGAUUAGAUACCCUGGUAGUCCACGCCGUAAACGAUGAUAACUAGCUGUUCGGGUACUUGGUAUCUGAGUGGCGCAGCUACGACAUAAGUUAUCCGUCCGUCGGGGUACGGGUCGGCGAGAAGUAAACGUAACAAAUAGAAGUUAGACGGCGUGUAGACGUUGCGAACGGACGACGACGAGGGAGGAGG